UAAUCAGUACUACACCUCACAGCAAGGCAGUGAGCAGUCAAGCAGGAAGGGGCACCACCAAAACCAGUUAUUUACAUAAAACCAGCUUCAAAUAACUAUCCAUUGUCAAACCCAGCAGAAAACAACAAUGAACCAUUACAGGGAGCUGUACUCCAUCUUUGGCAGACGUGACCCCAUCUCCACUGCUAAGAGCCCCUUGGAUACUUCGGGAAGGCUGGAGUCACUGGCCACCAGAGUGAACCCAGAGGAUGACAUGCUGGACGAGGAAGUGGAGGCAGAGGAGGAUAGGGGACAGGCAAUAGGGUGAUCUGGUGGUGUAGUGAGCCAGGAUCUCUUUUUGACUCCUGGACAAUCUAGCCAUUCCCAGCAGUCCAGCACUGGCAAGCCUGAUGCAGGGGAGGGAGCCUCUGCAGCUGCAGAUGUGUCUUUGACUCUCCCACACAGCAGCAGAGCGCUUCACCCAGCUAAAGAAAAGAAACUGGAGAAGUAAGGAAGAAAUGUUUAAGGAGGUGCUGCAGGCACUAGCAAUCUGGUGCUUCAAAUUGUGAGCAGAGAGCACGGAGGGAGGCAAUCAGUGGCAGAUUGCGGAGGGAUAGUCAGGAUAGGAAACAGGCAGGAAUAGAUGAUAACACUGCUCAGGGAGCAGACAGACAUGUUGCGGUUCCUGAUUGAACUUCAGUCUGAACACAUCCGUGCCUGCCUUCCUCUGCAGCCCAUACAGAACUGCCUUCCUGCACCUUCCCACAACAGCCCCCUCCCCCAUUCCUCCUUUCCUCUGAGGCCUCAGCAGCACGACAGCUGGACAUACAUCCAGCUCUGAGAACCUCACUGGCAAAUAUGCUUGGGAAUUUCCUGUU